GGAGGAGUGGCUGAGUGGACUAAAGCGGCGGUCUUGAAAACCGUUGUACCUUCGGGUACCGUGGGUUCGAAUCCUACCUCCUCCGCCA
rnacentral:tRNA from 1 species